UUAGUCAAUACUCUGGCACUGCCUGCCACC
rnacentral:sRNA from 1 species